rnacentral:rRNA from 1 species
GACGAACGCUGGCGGCGUGCCUAAUACAUGCAAGUCGAGCGAAGCGGCGGAUGGGUGAGUAACGCGUGGGUAACCUGCCCUUAAGUCUGGGAUACCCUUUGGAAACAGAUGCUAAUACCGGAUACUAACGGAUGGACCUCCGUUGCAUUAGCUAGUUGUUAAGGUAACGGCUUACCAAGGCGAUGAUGCAUAGCCGAUUUAAUAGCAUGAUCGGCCCCAUUGGGAGUGAGACACGGCCCAAAUUCCUAUGUGAGGCAUCAUUAGGGAAUCUGCCACAAUGGACGAAAGUCUGAUGGAGCAAAGCCGCGGGAGUGAAGAAGGUUUUCUGAUCGUAAAGCUCUGUUGUUGGUGAAGCGGUAAUCAACCAGAAAGUCACGGCUAACUCCGUGCCAGCCGCCGCGGUAAUUC